AUGGCGGCAGACGGCACCGGCGGCCAGACUAAGACGAAGCCGCACGCCGUGGUGAUACCGUACCUGCUCCAGGGCCACGUGAUCCCGGUGGCGCACCUGGCCUUGCGGCUGGCGGCGCGCGGGUUCACCGUUACCUUCGUCAACACGGAGUCGGUGCACCAGCAGACCCGCGCCCUGGGCGUCGACCGGCAGAGCUACAACAUCUUCGCGGGCGCGCGUGCGUCGUCAAGGGAGCGGCCGGACGUGCAGUACGAGCUGGUUAGCGACGGCUUCCCGCUGGGCUUCGACCGGUCGCUGAACCAUGACCAGUUCAUGGAGGGCGUGCUGCACGUGCUCCCGGCGCACGUGGAGGAGCUGCUCCGCCGCGUCGUCCUGGACCCGGCGUCCACCUGCCUCGUCGCCGACACCUUCUUCAUGUGGCCGGCGAUGCUGGCCAGGGCGCUCGGUGUGCCCUACGUUUUUGCCAUGAGAGUCCACCAUACCUACCUAUGGAUUGAGUAA
rnacentral:rRNA from 1 species